GGCAUCAGUGUUGCUUUCUUGAGGAGUAGAGGUAGAAGGAUUAGCUUGUUGUUGGGAAGAAUGGUGUCCUUUGUUGUUGAAACCAGGGGGAGGGUUUUGCUGAAGCUGAUAGCUGCCUUACUGGUUGUUCCUAGGCUGAUAACCACUCUGUUAGUUGUUGGAAUAGGAUUUCUGUUGGUAGUUGUUGUACUGAAAGUUUGACUCUUUUUUGUACCAGCUACCAUUGUUGUUAAUGAAACACAGCUCUUCUUGACCUUCCAAACCCUCAACCUCAUG
rnacentral:lncRNA from 1 species